AUGAUGGGCCUUCAUGCUCCUGCGGGUUAUGCUCCGGCGCCAUCGCCGUUUUACUUCUCGCAUCUCCUUUCGGUAAAGCUUACGCCGGACAACUACUUGUCGUGGCGGGCGCAGGUGCUACCCCUCCUCCGGAGUCGCUACUUGGAGGGCUAUGUUGAUGGCUCCAUCCCGUGUCCGCCGCCGUAUCAUCCGGCUCAUCACGUGUGGGUGGCUCAAGACCAGGCGAUACUUUCUGCCAUUCAGUCCUCGCUCACUCCGAGCGUAUCGUCACUUGUCAUCUUCGCCGUGACAUCUCGGGAUGCUUGGUCUGCGCUUCACAGCAGUUUUGCCUCUCAGUCUCAGGCGCGUGCUCACUCUAUCCGCACUGAGUUGGGGGAGACCAAGCUCGAUGGCCUCACUAUCACGGAGUACUUCAACAAGAUGUCCGGUCUUGCCGAUACGCUGGCCUCAAUUGGCCAGCCCCUUGGAGAUGAGGAUUUCACCACCCAUGUGCUUAAUGGCCUUGAUGAUGACUAUGAUAAUCUUAUUGAGAACGUCCAUGGUCGCGAGGCGCCUCUCCCGCCACGGGAACUGUACGCGCGUCUUCUUGGUCGCGAACAGCGCAUCAAAGCGCAUAGAGCUGCUCCGAGUUUUGCCUCCGCUAACGCCGCGACCCGCGGCAAAUCAUAG
rnacentral:rRNA from 1 species